AUUGAACGCUGGCGGCAGGCCUAACACAUGCAAGUCGAGCGAGCGGCGGACGGGUGAGUAAUGUCUGGGAAACUGCCUGAUGGAGGGGGAUAACUACUGGAAACGGUAGCUAAUACCGCAUACCAUCAGAUGUGCCCAGAUGGGAUUAGCUAGUAGGUGGGGGAACGGCUCACCUAGGCGACGAUCCCUAGCUGGUCUGAGAGGAUGACCAGCAAAACGGGAACGGAGACACGGUCCAGAAGCCUACGGGAGGCAGCAGGGGGGAAUAGGGCAAAAUGGGCGCAAGCCGGAUGCAGCCAUGCCGCGUGUGGGAAGAAGGCCUUCGGGUUGUAAAGCACUUUCAGCGGGGAGGCGUUACCCGCAGAAGAAGCACCGGCUAACUCCGUGCCAGCAGCCGCGGUAAUAC
rnacentral:rRNA from 1 species